CCCGCCGGACCUGACUGCUAUCGGAUUGAUACUAAGCCAUGCGAGUCUUUGUAGUAAUACAAGGCAGACGGCUCAGUAACACGUAGUCAAUCUACCCUAUGGACAGGGAUAACCUCGGGAAACUGAGAAUAAUACCUGAUAGAUCAUUAUGCCUGGAAUGGUUUAUGGUCGAAAUGAUUUAUCGCCGUAGGAUGGGACUGCGGUCUAUCAGCUUGUUGGUGAGGUAAUGGCCCACCAAGGCUAUAACAGAUACGGGCUCUGAGAGGAGAAGCCCGGAGAUGGGUACUGAGACACGGACCCAGGCCCUAUGGGGCGCAGCAGGCGAGAAAACUUUGCAAUGUGCGAAAGCACGACAAGGUUAAUCCGAGUGUUUUCUGCUAAAGAAAUCUUUUGUCAGUCCUAAAAACACUGAUGAAUAAGGGGUGGGCAAGUUCUGGUGUCAGCCGCCGCGGUAAAACCAGCACCUCAAGUGGUCAGGGGGAUUAUUGGGCCUAAAGCAUCCGUAGCCGGCUCUGUAAGUUUUCGGUUAAAUCUAUACGCUCAACGUAUAGGCUGCCGGGAAUACUGCAAAGCUAGGGAGUGGGAGAGGUAGACGGUACUCGGUAGGAAGGGGUAAAAUCCUUUGAUCUAUUGAUGACCACCUGUGGCGAAGGCGGUCUACUAGAACACGUCCGACGGUGAGGGAUGAAAGCUGGGGGAGCAAACCGGAUUAGAUACCCGGGUAGUCCCAGCUGUAAACUAUGCAAACUCAGUGAUGCACUGGCUUGUGGCCAGUGCAGUGCCGCAGGGAAGCCGUUAAGUUUGCCGCCUGGGAAGUACGUACGCAAGUAUGAAACUUAAAGGAAUUGGCGGGGGGGCACCACAA
rnacentral:rRNA from 1 species